UGCGCAGGCGGGGCAAUAAGUCAGUGGUGAAAUCCUGCGGCUUAACCGUAGAACUGCCAUUGAUACUGUUGCCCUUGGGUAUAGUUGAGGUGGGCGGAAUAUGUAAUGUAGCGGUGAAAUGCAUAGAUAUUACAUAGAACACCAAUUGCGAAGGCAGCUCACUAAGCUAUCACUGACGCUGAGGCACGAAAGCGUGGGGAGCGAACAGGAUUAGAUACCCUGGUAGUCC
rnacentral:rRNA from 1 species